UAGGUCUUCCUCUUCCAGAGCUCUAAUUUGCUUGGACAACUUGACAGCCUAUUUGAGAAGAAUUGAAAGAAAUAGAUUUUUAUGUCCUAAAAUGUCCUAAGCACCCAAACAAGAGAAAAAUGUACCAUGCUUCCGCAGACAUUAAAUCUCUGUUAAGGAUGAAGAGGUUGCUGCCCUAAAGACAGAGAUAGAAGACAUGAGAGACAGGCAGGAUGGAAAAGGAACAAAAGCAGCUGGGGCGUGCAAUGAGAAGCAAAACGAAUUAGAAAGUUCUGCUAAGGACCAAGAGUGGCUCUGGCUCCUGCUGUCUGUCGCCUCCAGGAAGAGUAUCUCCAUGCUCUGCAAGAUGAUUUAGGAUGCAGUAUUUGCUAUGGUCCCAUUUUACAGCUCCUACAACACCAAAGUUGCAGCAUGUAUGUUCAAGUAUACCACAUCUGCUCCUCCAUCUCAGUAGAUGUGCCAGAUUGCAGAGAAUUUCUGUGCUGGAAAGAUCCAUCAAACAGGAGGAUUUUAACCAGCAUGUUGAAGAGGUGUAAUGCUGCUUUUGACCUCAUUACUUCCACGUUAUCACAAGACUUACUCAAAACAAGAUGAAUUCAAAGCAAUGGGGCAGUCCGUUCCCCUCCACAAACGAAGCACAGAUGAUAAACUGAAGUAAUUAUAACAUGAAGGCUGCUAUAAAGAAGAAAUUAAAUAAAAUUCCUCUUCAAAGAAAUCAAAACACAUUAAGGCAGUGAAUGUAAGACAGACAAAUGUAGAACCAAAAUAAGAAUAUUUCUUCCUGGGAGAGAACUCACAAAGAGGAACUCCUUUUGAUACACUUAAGCUAAUUCAAAAGCAAGAGCAAUAACUGGAUGGACUUUAAGGACCUUUCCAACCUAAAUCAUUCUGUAAUUCUAUGAUUCUACAUGUUUUGUUUUGUUUUGUUUUUCCUCACAAACACAAGCCUUAUGUUCUCAAAUUUAAUACCAAUUUAAGCGGGUAUGGGUAGUAAUGUUAAUAUCAGUGUUUUAAGAGUCCUACAAGAGGUAUAAAAAUGUGCAUGAUGUCCAAGAAUGGAAAGAUUAAUUUCAUUCUGAUAAGAACAGAUAGAUAUUAAUUUUCAAAAGGGGAAUUCAAUUACAGAUAUUUGAAAUGGGAGCCCACCAUUGGAAUGUAGUAGCUCAGAAAGAAAGGCUGAGAUUGAUGUUUCCUUUCCUGAAGCAGUAUAAUUACUACCCCACACUUACGUUCUCCUUAUCCUUUUUGUUGAUAACAUUGUUCAUGUACUGGUAUUGAAAUCCAGGUUCCCCAGAUGCUGAGUUUGAACCCAGAGAAAUUAGCUCAUCUUUGAGUUGAGCAGUGUGUAACUGCAAGUGACUACAUUGAGCAGUGUGUAACUGCAAGUGACUACUGGGGAUCACCACAGUGUAGCAGUAACUUGAGGACAUCUGUCAUGAAGUCAAAAUAUAACGUACACUCCUCUAACCUUCUUCACAAAUGCUGCUUGGCAAUUAGUUUCUACUCCUGUGUAUUGGCACUGCAAGCCUUUUUCAAAAUUCAAGUCCAGGAGAUUGAAGGAAUUUGAAUUUGAGCUUGAGAUCUAAUUGUGUUUUAAAUGAGUAAUUGUUUGUUUCUUCAGAUAAGAACAAAGCCCAUGUUAAUUUCAGGUAGAGAGCUAUCAACAGAAGCCUAGAUGCUUAGAUGCUGUGUGUCAACCACCUGAAAAUUAGGCAGGCACCCAGCAGGGAAAGACCUACAAGUCCAUUUAUCUCACCAGUGGCAGACACUUUUGUGUGUGAUGACUCCACUGGACAAAACUUGAGGAUGAAGUUCAGGGACCAAAAGGACUCAGGAGUUCGGUGGUUUCUUGGUGUCUCGAGUAGGAACGCGUGGGCACAGGAACUGCAUCUAAGCUUCUCUGGGAGAUGUACUGAAACAAGGAACAAAGAAAAAUUGGCCCCAAAUUCGGUGUUGUUUAUUAAGUCCCCAACCACAGAUCCAGUCAAGCACUGGAAACCUUCUCAGCAUGCAAAAGCAGAGGCUGAAACUACAAGAAUACACUGAAAUACAACAAGAUGUAGAAGGUGGCAAGUGUCAGUUAUGUUGCAUUCAUUCAACUGUUCUUAUCUAUAGUCUUCCUGCAUUUAAUGUGGGUGUUUCUUUUUAUGAACACAUACAUAAUUAGUCUCUGAACAGAGCACACAGUGGCACCUCUGAGGUUGCAGCAUGCUACAUGUGAUUUCAGUUCUUUAACAUUACCGUUAUGAAGCCGAGUGGCAGGAGGCCAGCAAUCGCUAAUCGGGGGACAAUAGAGCUAAUUACAACUAUCUGCAAGAUGAAGAGUCACCAGACAACAACAAUUCUCUUUCAUUACGGCUGAGCCCCAUCCUGAAUUUCAUUUCAAUGCAAUCUGUUCUGAACCGCAAAAAGCUGGAAUGCAACAAAGUCCUUUCCAGGGUAGUUCCAUAAGCUACAGCUUAUGGGCUCUUCUCAGCUAUGUAAAGUGCUUUACAUAAACCAAACUGAUAUGUGGGUUCAUUACCAAAUACAACUCUCUAACACUGUCAUACAGACUCAAAUGAUAUGUGGGUUCACUACCCAAUACAACUCUCUCACACUGUCAUAUAAAUGCAUCCUUAUCAAGCUUUAAAGAUUAACAACUUACAUUUGCAUGACCUUUCCUCAGCUGAUCCUCAAACUCUCUUGAUGCUGCCAAACUGAGCAAAAACUAGAUGUUUUUACACAGAUGAGCUGCUCAGCUGAGAUCUACAGGACUUUUUGAGCUCAUAUUCACCAAAGCCUCCACUGGGACGUUGGGGCUAACUAAACACUGAACUCUCUUUUGAUGCAUCAUAGAGGAUUUUCAAGGUUGCCUCAAAUUAUACAGGUCCAACCCUGCUCCUCUCUCUACCUAUUGCAAAAUGAUUCUGGCAUAUAUCAGAUGUUUCCACAUUUAUGUAUGUGUCACACGCAUAAGAGGUUUUCUUUAUAUAUAUGAAAUAUUUUUGAAUGUAUUAAUGUAUUAAGAUGUAGCACAUUAAAUUAAAUAUAC
ensembl:lncRNA